CCUGUCUGCAAGUAUUUUCUUUCAUAGCUGGUGGAGACGGAUGGCAUUGUCUGCCCUCACUAGGUCCACAAUGGCGUUGGCGUCUUUUGUAGUUGGCUAAUUGGUGUUCAGUUUUGCAAGUAAGUGCCUUUAGAUGUGUAUUUGAGUGGUUGCAAUUACGCGAUGUGUUUUGUUUUUUGGAUACAUGUGUUUUCCAAAUGGCACCCUGAGAUUUCAUUUUUAAACGAAGUGUCUUAUGUAUGAAAUAGAGUGUAGUAUGCAGGACCAUGUGUGUUGCAUAAAGGAGUAAGUGUGUUGCAUAAUUGCAACUAGAGUGCAAAGCAGCGCUUUUGUUUAAGGUAUGGGUACAUGUGUUUGAGGUAUGGUAACAAAAACUUCAAGUUGUGUUACUUUAGUCUAAACAUGGGUUUAUAGUGUUCAAGCAACUGGCAAAAACUGUAUUAU